AACGAACGCUGGCGGCAGGCUUAACACAUGCAAGUCGAACGGGCGUAGCAAUACGUCAGUGGCAGACGGGUGAGUAACACAUGGGAACCUUCCUCGUAGUACGGGACAACUCAGGGAAACUUGAGCUAUACCGUAUACGUCCGAGAGGAGAAAGAUUUAUCGCUAUGAGACGGGCCCGCGUCCGAUUAGGUAGUUGGUGGGGUAACGGCCUACCAAGCCGACGAUCGGUAGCUGAUCUGAGAGGAUGAUCAGCCACACUGGGACUGAGACACGGCCCAGACUCCUACGGGAGGCAGCAGUGGGGAAUCUUGGACAAUGGGCGCAAGCCUGAUCCAGCCAUGCCGCGUGAGUGAAGAAGGCCUUAGGGUUGUAAAGCUCUUUUGCCAGGGACGAUAAUGACGGUACCUGGAGAAUAAGCCCCGGCAAACUUCGUGCCAGCAGCCGCAGUAAUAC
rnacentral:rRNA from 1 species